rnacentral:rRNA from 1 species
UACGUAGGGGGCAAGCGUUGUCCGGAUUUAUUGGGCGUAAAGAGCGUGUAGGCGGCCAGGUAGGUCCGUUGUGAAAACUCGAGGCUUAACCUCGAGACGUCGAUGGAAACCAUCUGGCUAGAGUCCGGAAGAGGAGAGUGGAAUUCCUGGUGUAGCGGUGAGAUGCGCAGAUAUCAGGAAGAACACCCGUGGCGAAGGCGGCUCUCUGGGACGUGACUGACGCUGAGACGCGAAAGCGUGGGGAGCAAACAGG